rnacentral:rRNA from 1 species
UACAGAGGGGGCAAGCGUUGUUCGGAAUUACUGGGCGUAAAGGGCGCGUAGGCGGCCUGUUAAGUCGAACGUGAAAUCCCCGGGCUCAACCCGGGAACUGCGUCCGAUACUGGCAGGCUUGAAUCCGGGAGAGGGAUGCGGAAUUCCAGGUGUAGCGGUGAAAUGCGUAGAUAUCAGGAGGAACACCAGCGGCGAAGGCGGCGCUCUGGGCCGGAACUGACGCUGAGGAGCGAAAGCGUGGGGAGCAAACAGG